CGUGUAGGCGGCUUGGUAAGUCAGAUGUGAAAGCCCUGGGCUCAACCCGGGAAGUGCAUUUGAAACUGCCAGGCUCGAGUAGGGGAGAGGGAAGUGGAAUUCCUGGUGUAGAGGUGAAAUUCGUAGAUAUCAGGAGGAACACCGGUGGCGAAGGCGACCUCCUGGCCCUAUACUGACGCUGAGACGCGAGAGCGUGGGUAGCAAACA
rnacentral:rRNA from 1 species